GGGGGGGGGGGACUUGGGGGGUGUUAACCCGAGCAUCCCUGGACCCGCGUCCCCUCCGGCUCCGUGGAGGGGCUGGUCAACCUGUCCCCUCUGUCCCCAGAUCGGAGGCAGCCUCCCCCUGCCCCGCUCGCAGCCCCGACGCCAGGGUGAUGGGCACAGGCUGCCCUCUCGGCUGCGCCAGCUUGGGAGCACCCCAGGGAGGACCAGCCCCUGAGAGCUCAAGUGCAACAGCAGGAGCAGCAGCAAAGCCGAGGGUCCCUGUCUCACCAUCCCCGACCCCCAUGUCAGCAACUGCUCGGCCAAGCGGCACG
rnacentral:lncRNA from 1 species